rnacentral:rRNA from 1 species
UACGUAGGGGGCAAGCGUUGUCCGGAAUCAUUGGGCGUAAAGAGCGCGUAGGCGGUCCGGUAAGUCGGUUGUGAAAACUGGGGGCUCAACCCUCAGAGGCCGACCGAUACUGCCGGGCUAGAGUCCGGAAGAGGCGAGUGGAAUUCCUGGUGUAGCGGUGAAAUGCGCAGAUAUCAGGAGGAACACCAAUGGCGAAGGCAGCUCGCUGGGACGGUACUGAGGCUGAGGCGCGAAAGCGUGGGGAGCAAACAGG